GCAUCAGUGGUGUAACGGUAACAUUGGAGCUUCCCAUCAUUGGGUUGCCGCAAGGCAAUACAAUGCUCUAGCCUCGGGUUCGACUCCCGGCUGAUGCA